GAAAAGUGAAGUAUACGGUAGAUUUUGUCCGUAUAUAAUUUUAUGUAAUUAAAUUUUUGCUUAGAAACGUAAUAUUAACGUUUAAUAUAUACUGCUAAUUGCUUUAAGCUGUCGACAUGUGCGCAAGGAUUAGAAUGUGUAAUUUGACAUGAGGUCGAAUUAUUAUAAACAAUAGGUUCUAACACUGUGUUAAAUUUGACGUGUGUAAAAGUCACGGAUUGCAUUAAUAUAAUAUAUAGGAUAUAGUUAGGAAUAGUUAGUUCUUGGUCUGAUGGCAAUGACAUGUUUGAUUGACGGAUAAAAUUGUACAACCCAUACUUAGAAGAAAAAAAGAAAGUUUCAACUUGAUACUAUGGUAGCUGAAACAGACCAAUACAAAUCCAAGAAGAAGAAAUGGUUUACCAGUUUACCAAAUUGAGAUUUCCUGAGACAGGAUUUAGAGUGAAACCUGAACUUUAUAAAUAUUACGUGAUGUGUUAUAGUGUUUUGAAAUUAGGACACUUGAAGAUUUAAAAAAGACAAUUUGUGUUCUCUGUGUUUGGGAUUAAUGAAUUUUCGUAGGACUUUGAAGUACAUAUGAACUUUUUGGAUAGCUUUUGCAUGCAACUUUUGAUUUUUGAUUAUUUGUGUUCUUCUUUCACAGCUUUGAUUUAAAGUAUAGUAAUCAUUUAUAUUUGCCUGUUGCGUGAAUAAUUAGUUAGAAUAUCUAUAUUUUAUAUAUAUUCUUAAAGGGGGAAGAAUUGUAGCACUAUCGUCGUUGCGACAUUGUUUUUAAAUUUAUAGACAAGGAAUAGAGAAAUAAGAUGGGUUAAACAACAUUAUUUAUCUUUACAAAUUAUUCUCUAUUGUCAGUAUAUUAAGGUAUAAGUUUAUUUAAAACGCAAAUUAACUGUUUAUGAAAUAGCGUGAGAAUAACAGGAAAGAGGGUCUGAGUUCAAGGAUAGAUUGUGUCGAGAAACAUGUGACGGAAAAUUACGAUUGCAUCAUUUAGCUUGUUUGACCAAUCUCUAUACUUAUUUACAUGAUAUUUGACCAAUUAGAUAAUUGAACGUCCAAAACCCACAGCUACAAAACUAUCAUACUUGUGAGAAUUCGUUAGACUUCCAUUAGAUUCCAGAGAGCUUCCAUCUGAGUUCCUAGACAGCCGCGAGGCUGGCUAGGGUAGAGAAGUGGUUUUAGCUAUAUAGUAUUGUAAUUUGUGCUAUGCUUGUAUACCUGUAUUCAGUUAUAUGCUAUAUAAAAUGUAGAAGCGAA